rnacentral:rRNA from 1 species
UACGUAGGGUGCAAGCGUUGUCCGGAAUUAUUGGGCGUAAAGAGCUCGUAGGCGGUUUGUCGCGUCUGCUGUGAAAACCCGGGGCUCAACCCCGGGCCUGCAGUCGAUACGGGCAGACUAGAGUGCGGUAGGGGAGACUGGAAUUCCUGGUGUAGCGGUGAAAUGCGCAGAUAUCAGGAGGAACACCGGUGGCGAAGGCGGGUCUCUGGGCCUGUACUGACGCUGAGGAGCGAAAGCGUGGGGAGCGAACAGG